rnacentral:rRNA from 1 species
CCUAACCGUGCGAAGGUAGCACAAUCACUUGUUCUUUAAAUUAGGACCAGUAUGAACGGCCUCACGAGAGCUACACUGUCUCCCCCCCUCAAUCAGUGAAACUGAUCUCCUCGUGAAGAAGCGAGGAUACCCAUACAAGACGAGAAGACCCCAUGGAGCUUUAAACUUGUACCACCGUCUUCGACUUAUACCAAUAAACUUAGGCAAACAAUGGCUACGAGUCUUUCGGCUGGGGCGACCAUGAAGAAAAACUAAACCUUCACGAUGAAAGGAGACAACUCCUAAUCAAAGAGCUACCACUCAAAGAAUCAAUAAACUGACAUAUUGACCCAAUAUUUUGAUCAACGAACCAAGUUACCCUGGGGAUAACAGCGCAAUCCACUUCAAGAGACCCCAUCGACAAGUGGGCUUACGACCUCGAUGUUGGAUCAGGGUAUCCCAGUGGUGCAGCCGCUACUAAAGGUUCGUUUGUUCAACGAUCAAAACCCUACGUGAUCUGAGUU